CUUAUGAAAGUGAUAGUUGUGUAGUAAACACAAAACUGCAUAUUAUAACGUUUGGCAAUAAAAAAAGUAUGGCUAUUUAUUAAAGAAUUAAAGAAAUCAUGAAAAUUCACAUUUGUGGUAUACGCAAUAAACUUGUUGGUUUGGAAGACACUAUUUGUUUCCAAAACAGUGUUUAUUCAUUAUGUUUUAACUGGAAAAACUUGUUUUAAACAUGUACUAUAUGAUUUUGAAGGUUAGAAUCGUGUUUAAAUUGUUGAUCAACCACAUUAGAGCUGAACUUGGCUGCUUUUAUUACUUGACGCGUUUCAAGGUUUGAUUCUUCUCUUCUUCUUUUGAGCAACCUUAAGAGUUAGGGAUAAUAAAUUUCAAACUUAUACUUGUUUAUUCUUUUAGUUUAAAGUUUGUAUAAUUUGUAUAAUCAGUGACUUCAGCCUUUUUCUUGAACGAUAUAAAUUAUUUGUGCUAGGGGGAAUUAUUGCGACUGCAUCAUCGGUAACUACUCAUACAUAUGAGUGUACUGUAUACAUACGUCAAACAAAUUUUCUUAGUAACUUGUUUUUAUAAAACGUUCCUGUUCACUGCUGAUUAAUUCGAAUGUUUGGUUAUUUAAACAUAUUUUACUUAACCUCUUUCGCGUUCGGAAAAUAUAGUUGCAAAAAUUCAGUAUUAAAAGUAAAAAAUAUUAGACACAAAAUUAAAAAAAAAUCAUGCUAGAAUAGCUCUAAAGGCAGUAAAGUAAUGAUGCUAUUGAAAUGAGAUUUACUUCAGUAAAUCAGUAAGCUCUCCUUCAAUGUUAAUUUUAAAUCAUUGCUUUCAUUGCAUAAUGCAGUAAAAUCACAGAAUGAUGGAGCAUAAACUCAUUUUGGUGAUCUCGAACGGCAGACGGGUAAUAAAAGCUGUGAAAGGGAUUUUUAGUUAGAUGUGACCACCCAUUAGAAAUCGCACAUUCUUACUGUAAAUUGAAGAGUUGUUUCGCCAUAAUCAGUUGCCUCUUCUUGUCACUGAAUAUAGUUAAAUAAUUCAAACGUUCUGAAAACGCUGUUUUCAGUUGUUUUUGAACCAAGACGACAUUAUUUAAGCAGCAUUAUUAUACAGUACCGUCUUUACUUGGUCAGUUAAUAUGGAACAAUUGGUGGGAAAAAAAUGAUGUGAAGCAGUUUCACAGUUGGCGAGAAUUAAACUUAAAAUAACAUGGAUCUACCAAAUUACGUGAUUCAGGAUGAACAAGCUCGAUUUCUUAUUAUGAAAAACAUUUUUACGAAGAAGUUAUGAGCAAAUUGUUAAAAAGAUUUUUGAUGGUAUUGCAUUUUAGAGCAACUGGGGAUGUAUUAGAUGAAAAUUGCGACAUUCUAUUAAAGAUCCUGCCACAUCUGCCAAGAAAGCACAUACUGAAGAAAGAAGAUAAGUAUAGGGAAAAUCUCUUUAUACAAUCAAAAAGAGACUUAACUCCCAAACCAAAUUUAGAUGUGUCAAAAUUUGACUUUACCAUGUCCUUUGCUUGUUUAACAGAGAUUCAAGGUCUCCCUUCAUGGAAGAAUCACAACUUUUGUAUCUUUUGUGAGUCAAAUUGUAAGAAUAUCCUGCUAGAGAACGCAAAAAAAAAAGACUGCAAUAACUGUGGAUUUUGUAGGACAUUAUCAAAUUGUCUUUCGCACAUUCUUACAAAGAACUUGAAUACUGGGAGGAAAACCAGAAAUAUAGGAGCACACACAUCACAAUUCUCAGCUAUCAGCCCUAACAUACAGGAAAAUAUUAGGGCCUUAACUGCUUUAUAUGAAUACUUGCACACAAAUGGAAAUUGGAGAAACUUUGAGAAAACCUGGAUAAACCAUGAAGCGUUUUUUGAAAUAAGAGAAGAUAUCAGGUUGAUUGAAAAAUAUUCAAUAACAUUUUUGUUAGAAAAAUUUAAAGAAAGAGUUAGAAUUUUAGAAGAUGUUUUCGCUAUUAAAGAAAAGAUGGAUAAAAUAUUGUCUAAGAUGAAUAAAUCAACCUUGAGAAUUUCAAUUCAAUUAUCCAUCAGCAAGUUAGCAGUGGUGGAAAUAUCUCAAGAACGCUAAAUUAAAAGGAUUGAAUUCAAGGAUGAGGAUGACUAUAGAGAAGGUGGUGAAUAAAUCGUUAGCACAACUGAGCAACGACUUCAAGUUUGAUGUACGUAUAUGUGGGUUGAAAAAAGUAGCAUGUGAAGAGGAGUUUGAACAAUUUGAAGCGGAGAUUAAGUUUACUUCACCAGAUUCCAAUGCUUUUGAGUUUUAUCAAUGUGAUACGCAUCCAAAAUCGAAAAUCUUACAAGCCGAACUUGAGAAAGCAAUGUUUGCAGAGUUGAAAAAAAAAUUUAGUAACAUUACUGAUAUAAACCUAACAGAACUUACAUUAGGGUUUACGUUGUGGGAUACUGGUUCACUUCAUAUCAUGUUAUCCUUGGUAAAAAACGAUCGUAGUUCAUUCAACAAACGCGAAAUACAAAUACUUAAUACUUCCUUCAAAGAUAUGAUCAGCUCUAAACAUGUGUUUUUUAAGGAAAUAUUUGGAGAAACUGUUCAGGUGUCAGCAGACACAAGUCCUUCGUGUACUAAAAUUGAAACAUUGAACGGCCAGUUGGAGGUCAAAAUCCUUACUGAGGAUGGCUACUAUCAUUCGGUUGUGUUUGUGAGUAAGUUAAAGCGCAGUGUGGAAACAUUGUUGACACAAGAACUUCAAUUAGAAGAAUGUAGCAAGAUAAAUAAAAACUUAGCCACGAUGUUGUAUUCAGUAGAACAGUUUGUCAACUCACAUUCUCAAACAUUAUCUAACGUAGUUGAUAUUGCACGAAUAGGGUCAGUCCACGCAUUUAUUGCAGAAACGCUGCCAUGGUUUGUGCUAACAAUAGAUGUUGACCAAGGAAAUCAAAAAAUUGAUUGUGCUGACGUUUUGUCGACGGACGCAGAAUAUGGAGAGAUUGAUAAAUACCAGGUAAUGAACACAUAAUUAAUUAAGUCACUUGAAAAUGAUAGGGAAAAAUUUGGAAAUUUAUCGUGACAAUUCCAUGGGGGAGAAUGAUCGUUACAGAUAAUAUAGUUGGCUAUCCACACCUAUACUCGAAAGAAUGUUUACAAGAACGGUUAUUUUUUAAAAGGAUAUAAUCUUAUUAUUACCCUGUGGACUUGCAGGAAGCAAAAUCUUUUUCUUGGAAACAAUGAAAUUCUGCAAGAUGAAAGUUUAUAUAAAAGAAAAUUUAAGUAGAUGUAUUAUUGAUGCAAUGUUUUUACUUAAAUCUAAUGGCUGGUUGAUGUAACUGAAGGGGCAAAGUUUUCUUGCUUUUUUAGUUUCCCCACCCCCGCUGCUUCAGGCCAGCCCCGUGGCGGAUUGUCAUCGAAUUUUGCACCCUAAAUGUUUAACCUUUCCAAACAUCCCACUUUAGAUUAUAUGAUAUAGUUACUUACGCACUGCGAUACAACAUGCCCAUUCUAAAUUUAUGUUGUUUUGGCAGAGCGCAAAAAAAAUAGGCUUACUAAAAGCACCCAACUAGGCAGCUAUCCCGUCAUAGUAGAAAAUGAGUAAGUUUCCUUGAGUUUUUUAAUCAAGCACUAUAUAUUUCAGUUCUGACUGGCGACAUAAAAUUCUUUCAUCCCUGCUGAGCUAACUGGGAUAGUUUAUGCAAAGCACUCUGCAUUUUAGAACAAGAUUCUGGUGGAAAUUACUAUUGUGUGUCUCAAAAAAAGGCCAAAAAGCAUCAUUUAGAAAUUCUGUGAGAUAUCCCUUACUUUUUAAAACUUUGUCCAAACUAAACCGAGAUUAUUUUACCAUAGAGUUGAACUAACAUGUCUAGAACUCGGUUGAACUUGCCAAGACGAGUUAACCCGCCUAGAACACAAGGAAAAGGAGUUAUUGAAUGGCCAAUAUGAAGGAAAGCAAAGUACCUACCAAAACUGAUUGGAGAAUUUUAUGUGGAGCAUUGCUCUCUGAAGUAAAAAAUUAUUUGCGAUCUUUACUUCACCAUCCUGCGAGCGGAAACUUUCCUAAAGAUGGUGGAAAGUUAUAUAACACAAUACUGGAACUAUAUCGAAAC